GGGGGCCGACUCUCAGAUGAAAAGAUGGCGCUAAGCAUGUAGAACCGAGGGCGGAGAACUGGCGGACGCGGGUUCGACUCCCGCCGCCUCCACCA
rnacentral:tRNA from 1 species